ncrna:unclassified sequences Glutamine-II riboswitch (downstream peptide RNA)
UCACGUUGAGCUUCGAUCUCGGAGCUGCAGUCAGACCCACGCCAGGCAACGGGGGCAUGGG